CCCUUAGAUGUUCUGGGCCGCACGCGCGCUACACUGACGAAUGCAACGAGCUUAUAACCUUGGCCGAAAGGUCUGGGUAAUCUCCAAAUUUCGUCGUGAUGGGGAUAGAUUAUUGCAAUUAUUAAUCUUCAACGAGGAAUGCCUAGUAAGCGCAAGUCAUCAGCUUACGUUGAUUACGUCCCUGCCCUUUGUACACACCGCCCGUCGCUCCUACCGAUUGAAUGGUCCGGUGAAGCGUUCGGACCGUGGCCUUUGGACGGUUCGCCGUCUGUUGGCUGCGGGAAGUUCGUUAAACCUUAUCAUUUAGAGGAAGGAGAAGUCGUAACA
rnacentral:rRNA from 1 species